rnacentral:rRNA from 1 species
UACGUAGGGUGCAAGCGUUAAUCGGAAUUACUGGGCGUAAAGCGUGCGCAGGCGGUGAUGUAAGACAGAUGUGAAAUCCCCGGGCUCAACCUGGGAACUGCAUUUGUGACUGCAUCGCUGGAGUGCGGCAGAGGGGGAUGGAAUUCCGCGUGUAGCAGUGAAAUGCGUAGAUAUGCGGAGGAACACCGAUGGCGAAGGCAAUCCCCUGGGCCUGCACUGACGCUGAAGCACGAAAGCGUGGGGAGCAAACAGG